GGGGCUGACUGGAAUUGACAGCAUUGAACGUUCUUUAAGUAAGCAUGUCGAGACAGGUGUGAUUAUCUCGUUAAAUAUAGCACAUAACAACUUUUAAAUGGCAAUAAUAACUAUGCCAUGGCUGCCUAAUCACAAAGUGAUUUAGACACCAUUGCGACCUACGCUUGACGCCUAAUACACAGCGUACCUCGCAUCAACCAACCUCUUAGGCUAGUUUAGAAUGCGUGUCUCCGUAAUUCAAAAUGAAUCAAGAAGAGACUGGAGUGGUAACUCGUUUGUCCUUAGACCUAUUACUGCUUGAGAUUCGACUAAUGACUAAACAUGUAGAAAGCUUAUUGAUGCUUUGACUGGACGAGGGUUCGACUCCCUCCAGCUCCACUA
rnacentral:tmRNA from 1 species